rnacentral:rRNA from 1 species
CCUACGGGGGGCAGCAGUGGGGAAUAUUGCACAAUGGGGGAAACCCUGAUGCAGCCAUGCCGCGUGUGUGAAGAAGGCCUUCGGGUUGUAAAGCACUUUCAGUCAGGAGGAAGGGCAAUGAGUUAAUACCUCAUUGCAUUGACGUUACUGACAGAAGAAGCACCGGCUAACUCCGUGCCAGCAGCCGCGGUAAUACGGAGGGUGCGAGCGUUAAUCGGAAUUACUGGGCGUAAAGCGUGCGCAGGCGGUUUGUUAAGCGAGAUGUGAAAGCCCCGGGCUCAACCUGGGAUGGUCAUUUCGAACUGGCAAGCUAGAGUCUCGUAGAGGGGGGUAGAAUUCCAGGUGUAGCGGUGAAAUGCGUAGAGAUCUGGAGGAAUACCGGUGGCGAAGGCGGCCCCCUGGACGAAGACUGACGCUCAGGCACGAAAGCGUGGGGAGCAAACAGGAUUAGAUACCCUAGUAGUC